GAUGAACGCUGGCGGCGUGCCUAAUACAUGCAAGUCGAGCGAACGGACGAGAAGCUUGCUUCUCUGAUGUUAGCGGCGGACGGGUGAGUAACACGUGGAUAACCUACCUAUAAGACUGGGAUAACUUCGGGAAACCGGAGCUAAUACCGGAUAAUAUUUUGAACCGCAUGGUUCAAAAGUGAAAGACGGUCUUGCUGUCACUUAUAGAUGGAUCCGCGCUGCAUUAGCUAGUUGGUAAGGUAACGGCUUACCAAGGCAACGAUGCAUAGCCGACCUGAGAGGGUGAUCGGCCACACUGGAACUGAGACACGGUCCAGACUCCUACGGGAGGCAGCAGUAGGGAAUCUUCCGCAAUGGGCGAAAGCCUGACGGAGCAACGCCGCGUGAGUGAUGAAGGUCUUCGGAUCGUNAAACUCUGUUAUUANGGAAGAACAUAUGUGUAAGUAACUGUGCACAUCUUGACGGUACCCUAUCAGAAAGCCACGGCUAACUACGUGCCAGCAGCCGCGGGUAUACGUANGUGGCAGCGUUAUCCCGAUUUAUUGGCGUAAAGCGCGCGUAGCGGUUUUUUAGUCUGAUGUGAAAGCCCACGGCUCAACCGUGGAGGGUCAUUGGAAACUGGAAAACUUGAGUGCAGAAGAGGAAAGUGGAAUUCCAUGUGUAGCGGUGAAAUGCGCAGAGAUAUGGAGGAACACCAGUGGCGAAGGCGACUUUCUGGUCUGUAACUGACGCUGAUGUGCGAAAGCGUGGGGAUCAAACAGGAUUAGAUACCCUGGUAGUCCACGCCGUAAACGAUGAGUGCUAAGUGUUAGGGGGUUUCCGCCCCUUAGUGCUGCAGCUAACGCAUUAAGCACUCCGCCUGGGGAGUACGACCGCAAGGUUGAAACUCAAAGGAAUUGACGGGGACCCGCACAAGCGGUGGAGCAUGUGGUUUAAUUCGAAGCAACGCGAAGAACCUUACCAAAUCUUGACAUCCUUUGACAACUCUAGAGAUAGAGCCUUCCCCUUCGGGGGACAAAGUGACAGGUGGUGCAUGGUUGUCGUCAGCUCGUGUCGUGAGAUGUUGGGUUAAGUCCCGCAACGAGCGCAACCCUUAAGCUUAGUUGCCAUCAUUAAGUUGGGCACUCUAAGUUGACUGCCGGUGACAAACCGGAGGAAGGUGGGGAUGACGUCAAAUCAUCAUGCCCCUUAUGAUUUGGGCUACACACGUGCUACAAUGGACAAUACAAAGGGCAGCGAAACCGCGAGGUCAAGCAAAUCCCAUAAAGUUGUUCUCAGUUCGGAUUGUAGUCUGCAACUCGACUACAUGAAGCUGGAAUCGCUAGUAAUCGUAGAUCAGCAUGCUACGGUGAAUACGUUCCCGGGUCU
rnacentral:rRNA from 1 species